CAGAAAUCACCUUGUUGAAAAGUAAAUGCCCAUACUUUUAACUUCAAACCACAUCUGAAGACUUCAAGCAUUUAAUAGGAAGUAAGUCCUUAGAAAAAAUUCAAACUGUUUCUGACUGCCUCAGAAAAGAACACAAAACAACAAGCUGCAAAGAGGCCCUCUGCCAACCAGCCUUUACGGAAAUGUCCAAGUUAUGAUUAGAACAACACAAAAUGUAUACAAUGCAUAUGAUGGAUCCUGUUUCUUGGGGUGUCUGUCCCAGUUCACCCCAUCUUGAUUUCUGCCUUUUGUUAUUAUAUUGAGCAAACACUUUUUAACCACCCUAACUUAAAUCUGCUGCCUCUGUGUGUUCACUAUACAAUCCCAGUCCCAGGGCCCCAGGAUGAGACUUCUGUGGAAAUAUGGUGACACCGUGGACACAUGGCCCAAGUGCCUGUAGCAACUGUAGAACUCCCUGCCUUAGAAACAGCUGUCUAGGUUGGGCCGAACCUUUUGGGGUUUUUUUGUUUGUUUGUUUUUAAAACAUAGUCUCACUGUGUAUAGUACAGGCUAGCCUCAAAUUUUCAAUUGUCCUGUCUCUUUCUUAUGGGUGCUGGGAUUAUAGACACAUACCAUCAUACCCAGCCAUGACCCAGAACUUUGGGCGCAGAGAUGGGAUGCAGUGAAAGAGACUUAGCAGUUGAUUGUGAGAUAAUCCAAUUUGAGCCAGCCUUUUCUGUGUCUCUGAAGAGCUGGAAGCCAGUCACCCUACAAAGGGUACAACAGGCCAGGUGUUUCAGCUGCUUUUUCCCGAGGUGUCAGCCACCUUGCUCAGGGUUCCCUGACCAUAGCUCCAGGAUGUUCACAUGGACAGAAGCAGACUGGUGGCUCAGAUAGACUCAGGCUGAUAGGUCAGCAGACUACACCUGUUGGUAGCAGAGGACUUCCCUCAAAUGUUGGAGCUGCAGCAGCAAUCCCCUGAGGGCCUGUAUCUGGCUUGAAGGAAGCUGGCUAUCUGGAGCAAUACUGGAUGUGAGAGGACACCGAGGCACCGUGCUCACCCCCCAGCAGCUGCAGACUUGAAGACGUACUUUCCUAAGGCUUUUGUGUGUUCUCCUCACCCAGCCACAUUCUUCUCCAGUCUUCAUAGUUACCCCAAUCAUUUUUAUAGUUUUCGAACUCUAUUCGAUGGAAGUUUUGAAGAGUACCUUAUCUCUGCCCACUCACUGUUUAUACUUCUAAGUAGGUUUGGAACCAGUAAACCGAAGGCUUAAGAGAUCAAGAAUAUAAUUGCCUCUGAUUAGCAGUAGCCUCAGCUACAUUGACGAGCAAUGAACUUUGCACUAACUCAUCUUGUUACUGCCCAUCAUGAACACACCACAUCAGCUGAAGUCAUCCCUGUGCCCUUGGGCUGUGUGUGCCUCCUGUGGUAAGUGGAAAGGUGCAGCACACUGACGGCAGUGAACCUCUCAGUCAGGCUAGAUGCCCUUUACACAGAGUGGCUGCAGAAGUUUGAGAUGUCAAUGAGAAGGUGCCAGAAGCCCUGAGGCCCAGCCAAGCUGCCAGAACUUAUGCAUGCAAUGGCUAGUAACCUGUCUUUGCUCAGGUCCCCAUUUUUCUCUUCCAUGUGGCAUUAGUAUUACUGUCCCUACCUCCCUCACAGACAGACACAAUGUAAGGAUUUGGUGACAUACGGCCUCUGGCAUCUUGGAGCUUAGAGGUUUAUGGUGAAUGUGUAUUGUUUGAGAUUUGUGCUCUGACUCUACUAUGUGUACUAUGGCCCAAUCUGUGCAGGAAGCUGGCAGAACCAGCCAAGGCACAGAGGCAGGGACAUUUGCUUUAGGGUCCCCUCCUGCCUAAACAGGAGAUCAAACAAGAAUGCAGAGGGGCACAGAAAUGGAACAUAAUUUCCAGGGGCUUCUUUUCCUGCUGGCUGUGACUUAACUUCUAUGCUUGUCCAUGAACAAGAACCAAUACCACCCACCAAGAACUGGGCGAUGUUCUCACCAUCUUACCAGCUCAGCUCCCUCCUAGAUGAAGUAAACAGAUGCUAUCUAUACAGGAAAGAGAUUAAAGAACAAUUCUACCUGGAGAACGGAAGGGUGUGAAUACGAAGAGCACCAGAGUGGACUCAGCCCUGCAGUACAGUAGCUGCAGAGGUAUGGACACCACCCUAAGUCUCCCCCCCCCAAUUGCCAUCUUUCCCCUGCCCACUGAAGAGAUGAGCACACAGACAUUCUGAAAAGAAGCCUUCCCAUUCUCACCACACUGAAAAACACCACCAUGUAUGAGUUGAUGUCCUAACUCUGGUGUUUUGAUCCAAUGUUAAAAAAAAAAAAAAAAAUGACCCUGUUCCAUCUCAACAGUUGACUCUGUUACAGAGGACAUAUCAAUUACCUACAAAACUACUACUUUUUAAAAGAUUUUGUAUACACAAAAACCAAGGUAACAGUGGUUUACCUCCCAAUUUUCUUAGAUUUUAGGAAACUCUUAAUUCAUUGGUGCUUAUUCUGAAUUUGAAAGACUUGGGCUCCAAGAUGUCCCAUGUGCGGAGCAAGACAGAUGGUCACAGAGAAAGUUAUAGCAAGAUUCAUGAACCUGUAUUUAUCUUUUGAGCAGCAGUCUCCAUGGGGGGACUUGGAUGCAUGUCUGCAAAUUCAAGGAUGGAAGCCAAGGCUGAUUGUGGGACCUCAGGAAGCCACUUGUCCAUAACCCCUAGUUCUCCACUACUACCCAACUCCAGCCAUCUCAGAAACUUGGUCACUUUCAAAGGGCUUCACAAGAAUUGUCACCCUCCCUCCAUUUACAGUUGGUUUGCUACAUUCAGGAAGUUAUCCCCUAUUGACCAUCGAGAACUGGGCUACUUAUUUCCAAUAAUAUGCCAGUCAUCUCUGGCUAGGUACCCUUCUGUAGACACAUAGCCCUCUACCCACCCUCUGUACUAUGUGCCAAAAUACCCAGGUGUGGCCUAAGGACUGAGUUUAAUGCCUCCUAUGGGGAUUCAAGGAAUGCUAGAGCAGGAGACUAGCAAUUUAGUUCAAGGUUAAAAGUAUAUAAAUAUAUAUAUACAUAUAUAUACAUAUAAAAUAAUACCCACGAUGAGGAUCAACAGAGUGCCAAAUAUUCAAACCUGUACAGACUUACAUUCACCAGAACUAAACUAUUUUAUGUAAUUCUCGUACUCAUGCUUUUUGGGUUCUUUUGAUAAAGUCUACUUCCCAGCAUGCAGUAUCCUAUCUGAUGUAUUUCUUAUUGCCAACACAGUUUCUUCCUUCUCAUUAAUAAUUUGUCAGAAUGUCAGUCGUUAUUUUAAGUCAUUAUUAAGAGAUUGCUUGUUGUUUCUUGUUUUUGUUUUCUUUCCUCUGUGACUUUUUCUUUUCACUCUUAGGUGACUAUGAAACAUUGUUGUCUGGAACUCUUCAAUGGUAACACCUCUUUCAUUUGAUGUCUGUAUUGCCAAUAUUCACCUCCUGUAAAUAGUUAUGCAAUUAAAUUUUUUGAGAAAAGUAAUAUUUACUUUUAAUGGAGUAAAUUCUUUGUGAU
rnacentral:lncRNA from 1 species